rnacentral:rRNA from 1 species
GUCCACGCCGUAAACUAUGAGAGCUAGACGUCGGGCGGCUUGCCGUUCGGUGUCGCAGCUAACGCAUUAAGAUCUCCGCCUGGGGAGUACGGCCGCAAGGUUAAAACUCAAAGGAAUUGACGGGGGCCCCGCACAAGCGGUGGAGCAUGUGGUUUAAUUCGAAGCAACGCGCAGAACCUUACCAUCCCUUGACUUGGACGUCGCGGGCCGGGAGACCGGUCUUUCAGUUCGGCUGGACGUAACACAGGUGCUGCAUGGCUGUCGU